rnacentral:rRNA from 1 species
UCAAUAGCGGAGGAAAAGAAACUAACAAGGAUAGUAACGGCGAGUGAAGAGGGAAGAGCCCAAGAUUGAAAGCUGGCGUCUUCGGCGUCCGCAUUGUAAUCUCAAGAAGUGUUUUCCGCUUCGGACCAUGCCUAAGUCCCUUGGAAAAGGGCAUCAUAGAGGGUGAUAAUCCCGUACAUGGCAUGGAGCGCCCGAAGCUUUGUGAUACGCUUUCUAAGAGUCGAGUUGUUUGGGAAUGCAGCUCAAAAUGGGUGGUAAAUGCCAUCUAAGGCUAAAUAUUGGGGAGAGACCGAUAGCGAACAAGUACAGUGAUGGAAAGAUGAAAAGAACUUUGAAAAGAGAGUUAAACAGUACGUGAAAUUGCCAAAAGGGAAGGGUAGGAGGUCAGAGAUGCGGCCUAGGAUUCAGCCUUGCUUUUGCUUGGUGUUUUUCCUAGAUUGCAGGCCAACGUCGGUUUUGGGCACUGGAGAAUGGUGGAAGGAAUGUGGCACCUCUCGGGGUGUGUUAUAGCCUUCUACUGGAUACAGCGACCGAGACCGAGGACAGCAGCGUACUCGCAAGAGCGCCUUCGGGCACCUUUACGCUUAGGGCGUUGGCAUAAUGGCCCUCUACCACCCGUCUUGAAA